rnacentral:rRNA from 1 species
UAGGGAAGUCUUCCACAAUGGGCGGAAAGCCUGAUGGAGCAACGCCGCGUGUGUGAUGAAGGGUUUCGGCUCGUAAAACACUGUUGUAAGAGAAGAAUGACAUUGAGAGUAACUGUUCAAUGUGUGACGGUAUCUUACCAGAAAGGAACGGCUAAAUACGUGUCAG